ACAGUACUCCCAGCUAUAGCAAGCGGCAGUUAUGGAGCAUGCGCAGCAGCAGGGGCGGCCGCAGGUCGCCGUUCAAUAAUACGUAAUGUAUAGACUUUUGAGUAUACGAAGCUCCCUGUUUCUCUAGGUUCACCUGAGAUUUAUCUGGUCUUUCAGGGCUUAAAAGGGAGACAUUCCCAAAGAAGAUUCCGUGGGAAGUCUCCUACAAGCCCCGAAGGAAGGGAAUCUCUCUCCUCAUACCUUGAGUUUCCUGAGUACAAUUAUUAUAGAUAUACGAAGAUCUCUGUGCUCAUGGAGAAUUUGUGUCAAGGGAUUUGUACAGCCCUGUAGGAGACACCUCCAGAGAAAGUAACAGCUCUCAAUUGAUUAGCUGAGCCAGAAUUAGCUUCUGUUACUUACAACUGUGAGUCCUGACUGAAAACAUAUUUCUUCCUUUGAAGAACUGUUACCUGUAACAGGCUAAGAAGAAUAUUAAGAAUAAACAGAUGCUUUUACAGCUCGCCUUGGCGGGAAGAUCUGGCACAAAUGAAGUAUCUAUAAGGAGCAGCAGAGUCAAGACUGGAUUUAGUGACUUGCUUCAUCAAUGGAAUACACUCAAAUAACAUUUUGGAAUUUCUGAGACUGUCAUAAAAAGCUGAAGGGCUUCUAUUGGGCUUCCUGAAAUGCUCCCUUUUGGAUCCCUGAGCAGCCAUGUGAGUUUAACUACUCUGCAGGAGAGAGUAUGUGAAAAGGAACCUACCUAAGCCCAGCCUCCUUGUCAUCCACAGGAAGACACCAGACAAAUGAGUUACACUGUUUUGGACUCCCCAACACAACCCAGCCACCGGCUGAAUGCCACCAAAUUACCUUCUAGUUAAAGGUUUAUGGAGCAAACGAAUCACCUAUUCAAUAUCUGCUUGAAUUUC
rnacentral:lncRNA from 10 species